GUGAGGACGACGUUUGUCACUUACCUGUCCUGAGUCUGGGCGCCAAGGAGGCGUGUAAUAGGUCUCCACCCCAGCUGAAUAGUAAAGUGCUGACAACUGAGACACCAGUCAUCCGAGGGGGCAGAUCCCGGGGCUGCAGCCUUCAGGCUUAGGAGACGAGAGCUCUGGCAGGGAGUGGGGAGGGCCAUUCAGGUAGGUGGGACAGCCCAGGUGAAGGUGUUGCUUGGAGACAGGCACAGGAGCUGUGGGAGAUGAGGCUGGAUUGGAGGGGCCCGCCCAGGUAGGGAGGCUUUGAGGGCCUCUCAGUGGCCAAGGACAGUGGCCGCCCAUCCUGCCCCCUGAUGUCUGGAAGCCUGGGGCUCCCGGGGCUGACUGGGCCCUCUGUGUUGGCCCAUGGCCCAUGGCCCAUGGCAGGAGCGCAUCUUCAUGGAGAAUGUGGGGGCCGUGAAGGAGCUCUGCAAGCUGACAGACAACCUGGAGACGCGCAUUGAUGAGCUGGAGCGCUGGAGCCACAAGCUGGCCAAGCUGCGGCGGCUCGACAGCCUCAAGUCCACCGGCAGCUCGGGCGCCUUCAGGUAGGGGUGCGGGGUGAGGGAAGGUGAGACCCUUCUUCCCAGGGACACCCCUGAUCCUGGCCCUCUUGCUGCAGCCAUGCAGGGAGCCAGUUCAGCCGGGCAGGCAGUGUCCCUCACAAGAAGAGGCCCCCCAAGGUGGCCAGCAAGUCAUCGUCCGUGGUUCCGGACCAGGCCUGCAUCAGCCAGCGCUUCCUGCAGGGAACCAUCAUCGCCCUGGUGGUGGUCAUGGCCUUCAGCGUGGUGUCCAUGUCCACACUGUACGUGCUGAGCCUGCGCACAGAGGAGGACCUGGUAGACACUGAUGGGUCCAGCCAGAGCUUUGGGACCACGCAGCUCCGACAGUCCCCCGUGACCACUGGGCUACCAGGCAUACAGCCCUCUUUGCUGCUGGUGACCACCAGCCUCACCAGCUCAGCCCCAGGUUCUGCUGUCCGCACCUUGGACAUGUGUUCCAGCCACCCCUGCCCUGUCAUCUGCUGUUCCUCACCCACCACCAACCCUACCACUGGUCCUAGUCUUGGCCCCAGCUUUAACCCUGGCCAUGUUCUCAGCCCAAGUCCCAGCCCCAGCACCAACCGCUCAGGCCCCAGCCAGAUGGCCCUUCUGCCAGUCACCAACAUCAGAGCCAAGUCCUGGGGUCUUUCAGUCAAUGGCAUUGGCCACUCCAAGCAUCACAAGAGUCUGGAGCCUCUGGCCAGCCCUGCAGUCCCCUUCCCUGGGGGGCAGGGCAAAGCCAAGAACAGUCCCAGCCUUGGUUUCCAUGGCCGGGCCCGCCGAGGGGCCCUCCAGUCCAGCGUGGGCCCUGCUCAGCCCACCUGGGCCCAGGGCCAGUCAGGUACUUGCCGUACCCCUGACACUACCCAGCCCAGCCUGGCAAGGCUCACUGGCCAGGGCCCACCUCAGCCCAGUCAUGUGACUGUCUGGGUUCAGACUUGUCAGUCAAUAGACAUUUGCUGAGCACAGAAUAAGGAUCAGGAAUCACGCCUGCAGCCUUACAUAGAUCAUCCCAUUUAGUCCUCACAGCACUCCUGCGAGAAACGAAUUGUUGUUCCUAUUGUUCAGCUGAAGAAAUGGGAUGGAGACUAAGGUGAAGUGACCUGCCCAGGGUUAUACAGCCCUUCCGAGGCAGGGCUUGUAUUUGAUCCCGAGCCUGGCUCCUCCUUCACCAUGCCAGCACCAGGAGGGUGCUACACCAGGUCUCCCCUACUGUUUCCCAAACCUUGGAUCUUUGGUUUUAAGAAAGCUACAGAACCUUUUAUUGCAGUUUUCAAACUAGGUUCCUCUGAGGUACCCUGGGGGCUGCACUGGGGGCUGCCCUGGGGG
rnacentral:sRNA from 1 species